CCCUUAGAUGUUCUGGGCCGCACGCGUGCUACACUGAGUGGAUCAGCGGGUCAGGUUGCGCGAAAGUGUUUCCUAAUCUUUAAAUCCGCUCGUGAUGGGGAUUGACGGUUGCAAUUUUCCGUCAUGAACGAGGAAUACCUUGUAAGCGCGGGUCAUCAUCCCGCGCUGAAUACGUCACUGCCCUUUGUACACACCGCCCGUCGCUCCUACCGAUUGAGUGGUCCGGUGAGGCUUUGGGAUCUGAGCGGAAAGAGCGUUUCGCUGUUUCUGCCCGGAAAACUCAGUCGAACCUUAUCAUUUAGAGGAAGGAGAAGUCGUAACA
rnacentral:rRNA from 1 species